rnacentral:rRNA from 1 species
CCUACGGGAGGCAGCAGUGAGGAAUAUUGGUCAAUGGACGAGAGUCUGAACCAGCCAAGUAGCGUGAAGGAUGACUGCCCUAUGGGUUGUAAACUCUUUUUAUAUGGGAAUAAAAUGUUCCACGUGUGGGCUUUUGUAUGUACCAUAUGAAUAAGGAUCGGCUAACUCCGUGCCAGCAGCCGCGGUAAUACGGAGGAUCCGAGCGUUAUCCGGAUUUAUUGGGUUUAAAGGGAGCGUAGGUGGAUUGUUAAGUCAGUUGUGAAAGUUUGCGGCUCAACCGUAAAAUUGCAGUUGAAACUGGCAGUCUUGAGUACAGUAGAGGUGGGCGGAAUUCGUGGUGUAGCGGUGAAAUGCUUAGAUAUCACGAAGAACUCCGAUUGCGAAGGCAGCUCACUGGACUGCAACUGACACUGAGGCGCGAAAGUGUGGGUAUCAAACAGGAUUAGAUACCCGGGUAGUC